rnacentral:rRNA from 1 species
CGUAAACGAUGAGUGCUAAGUGUUGGAGGGUUUCCGCCCUUCAGUGCUGCAGCUAACGCAUUAAGCACUCCGCCUGGGGAGUACGACCGCAAGGUUGAAACUCAAAGGAAUUGACGGGGGCCCGCACAAGCGGUGGAGCAUGUGGUUUAAUUCGAAGCAACGCGAAGAACCUUACCAGGUCUUGACAUCCUUUGACCACUCUAGAGAUAGAGCUUCCCCUUCGGGGGCAAAGUGACAGGUGGUGCAUGGUUGUCGUCAGCUCGUGUCGUGAGAUGUUGGGUUAAGUCCCGCAACGAGCGCAACCCUUAUUGUUAGUUGCCAUCAUUCAGUUGGGCACUCUAGCAAGACUGCCGGUGACAAACCGGAGGAAGGUGGGGAUGACGUCAAAUCAUCAUGCCCCUUAUGACCUGGGCUACACACGUGCUACAAUGGGAAGUACAACGAGUUGCGAAGUCGCGAGGCUAAGCUAAUCUCUUAAAGCUUCUCUCAGUUCGGAUUGCAGGCUGCAACUCGCCUGCAUGAAGCCGGAAUCGCUAGUAAUCGCGGAUCAGCACGCCGCGGUGAAUACGUUCCCGGGCCUUGUACACACCGCCCGUCACACCACGAGAGUUUGUAACACCCGAAGUCGGUGAGGUAACCUUUU